GGGAGAGGAGGCCGGGGGUGGUGCACACUUCCUAGACUUGUGGUCAGGACUAGUCUGGAGCACACUGAAGUCAGCCACACCGGGCCAGGAGGCCGCCAGUCAGUGUAGCUGUGGGCACUGCUCCCAUGGCACUUUCGGGCCGGCUCCAUGCUGCCACCUCCUGCUUUUCAUCAUCAUCUUCAAGGUCAUGUGCCUCUGCAAGGGGAGAGGAGGCCGGGGGUGGUGCACACUUCCUAGACUUGUGGUCAGGACUAGUCUGGAGCCCACUGAAGUCAGCCACACCUGGCACAGAAGGCCCCCAGUCAGUGUAGCUGUGGGCACUGCUCCCAUGGCACUUUCGGGCCGGCUCCAUGCUGCCACCUCCUGCUUUUCAUCAUCAUCUUCAAGGUCGUGUGCCUCUGCUCUUGUCCAUGGCCUCCAGGGUAUGGUCCGUCCUCCAUCUGGCCUCGUCCCUGGUACCCUGUGCAGUCGGAUGCCAGGGUAGCCUUCUCGAGACAAACAUCUGACCCUGAUGGAACACUUCCAUGGAUCUCGUGUGAUGCGAGGAUGAUGCCCUGCCCUGGAAAGGGGCUGCAGGUCCCCAAUCAGGAGAGCCAUGUCUCCGUUUUCAGCAUGGCCUGCCCUCCCCUCAGUCUUCUUCAGGGAAGCUCUCCCCACUUCCUGAGAUGACAGCUCUGAACUUAAAAGUGAAUGUUAUUUUACAUAUCUCUAUGACUUAGUGCAUCCAUGGCAGGUCUUCCAACCCCAUUAGUGGGUUUUUUAGCAGUUCUGAAGGGCUGUCUGCUCAAGGAGGGGAUGACCUGGGUGGGGCAGCUUUCCCUCUCAUCUCCCUCAGCCUGUCUCUGAGCCCUGGGGCCAGCUGUCCCACUGAGGAUUGAGGGACCCGAGCCAGCCCAUCCUGAGCCCAGGCUGUGUGUCAGCUGUGUAGACUGAUGCGUGUCGGAGCGGUGGGCAGCUGGCAUAGGCCAGGGGCAGGCAGUGUCUCCCCUCCUCAUUCCUUCCCUCCCUUCCUCCCAGAGGUAGCUCAGAGCAGCCUUCAAACCCUGCAUCUCCAGAUCCCUUGACCUAUGCCUCCUGUGUUCAGCUGGUGACCUUGGAGUUUCGCAUGGAUUCUACCUCCUGUACCCUCUCCCAUAGCAGUUCUUGGAUCAGGGGAGGAGUCAGAAUCUUGUCUGGUUUUGGUCUUCUUCCUGUCCCGCACAAAGCCCACCCACCUUUGCAUCUUCCAUGUAUGUACUUGGAUGCAAGCCCAUCCACAGGGAACCUAUUAGCCAAAUGGAUCCAGGCAAUGAACAUUGAAAUAGAGAUCCAGGAUCCCUAAUAAACCUGCUCUGAAACCUAUCCCA
rnacentral:lncRNA from 1 species